GGAGCCGGGAUUUCGCACAGGUUUUUCAAACUUUCGAAGAAAUUUUAGAGGAAGCAAACACCAAAGACGAUUGAAGAGCCUGGUCAAGGGCGUGGUUGUUCACGCACCUAACUGGAUGCAAGGUAUCGGCAGCCUAAUUUCGGCAGCCGG